UGUCCUGCUAAUAUGUUGGCCUUUGACUCAAUCAUUUAGAAGAAGCAAGCACUAUGCCAAGAGUACUGGCUAAGGAAUAAGAAGCCGUUGGUUCUGAGUUAGCCUCGACGAUUGUUUCCACGGUGGCACUGAACAGGAGGCCAUGACUGUCAUGAUGACCUCUUGGGUCCUUAUAAAGGACAGCAGAAGUGACCGAUUUGGACAAUAAGUUACCUUGCCACCUGGAACCUGGGGAUAAGUUACAUUUCUUCCCUAAGGACAAGAUAAACACGCUUUGGCUGCCUGAGCAUAUUCCAGGAACUGUACUAAUUUAGUGAAUCUUUUAUUUCGAUCAGCCUCAUCAAG